rnacentral:rRNA from 1 species
UACGGAGGGUGCGAGCGUUGUCCGGAAUCAUUGGGCGUAAAGGGCGCGUAGGCGGCCUGCUAAGUCGAACGUGAAAUCCCUGGGCUCAACCCAGGAACUGCGUCCGAUACUGGUUGGCUUGAAUCCGGGAGAGGGAUGUGGAAUUCCAGGUGUAGCGGUGAAAUGCGUAGAUAUCUGGAGGAACACCGGUGGCGAAGGCGACAUCCUGGACCGGCAUUGACGCUGAGGCGCGAAAGCCAGGGGAGCAAACGGG